rnacentral:rRNA from 1 species
GGGGAAUUGUUCGCAAUGGGCGCAAGCCUGACGACGCAACGCCGCGUGGAGGAUGAAGAUUUUCGGAUCGUAAACUCCUUUCGAUCGGGACGAAUCGGUCGCGACCUAACACGUCGUGGCACUGACGGUACCAUUUAUAAGCCCCGGCUAACUACGUGCCAGCAGCCGCGGUAAUACGUAGGGGGCAAGCGUUGUCCGGAUUUAUUGGGCGUAAAGGGCGCGCAGGCGGCGCUUCAAGUCCGUUGUGAAAUUUCAGGGCUUAACCCUGACGGGUCAACGGGAACUGAAGGGCUAGAGUGCAGCAGAGGAAAGCGGAAUUCCCGGUGUAGUGGUGAAAUGCGUAGAUAUCGGGAGGAACACCAGAGGCGAAAGCGGCUUUCUGGGCUGUAACUGACGCUGAGGCGCGAAGGCUAGGGGAGCAAAC